GAUGAACGCUGGCGGCGUGCCUAAUACAUGCAAGUCGAGCGAAUGGAUUAAGAGCUUGCUCUUAUGAAGUUAGCGGCGGACGGGUGAGUAACACGUGGGUAACCUGCCCAUAAGACUGGGAUGACUCCGGGAAACCGGGGCUAAUACCGGAUAACAUUUUGAACCGCAUGGUUCGAAAUUGAAAGGCGGCUUCGGCUGUCACUUAUGGAUGGACCCGCGUCGCAUUAGCUAGUUGGUGAGGUAACGGCUCACCAAGGCAACGAUGCGUAGCCGACCUGAGAGGGUGAUCGGCCACACGGGGACUGAGACACGGCCCAGACUCCUACGGGAGGCGGCAGUAGGGAAUCUUCCGCAAUGGACGAAAGUCUGACGGAGCAACGCCGCGUGAGUGAUGAAGGCUUUCGGGUCGUAAAACUCUGUUGUUAGGGAAGAACAAGUGCUGGUUGAAUAAGCUGGCACCUUGACGGUACCUAACCAGAAAGCCACGGCUAACUACGUGCCAGCCGCCGCAGUAA
rnacentral:rRNA from 1 species